GCUUAAUACCCAGCAAAGGAAACAAUUCCUGGCCCAGUUCUUAGACUAGCCCCCAGUUCUUUGACUCUCAUAUUUCUGUUUUCUCCAGGGAUUCGGAUUGUGAAACUCCUGUCCCUGUGAUGAUUUUUGACCCUUGCUUUCCAGUCUGCCUGGAAAUUACUCCCUGUUAAUUUGCACCUUGACCAUGACCUAUGCUACCUUCUCCCAGACCCUGCUUUGUUCCAUCUGCUGGAUUUCCAUUGUCAGGGUCCUGCCCAGGACUAACCUCUGCUCAUGAACAUCUUCUGGAAUGACUGUCUUGGCACUGUGGUUAACUCCUGAAGUCUUGCUGCUUAGAAGGAAUCCUCGUUGUGGGUUAUAUGACUCAGGAGGUCAUACCUGGCACCAAAAGAAUAAGUUAAUAAGUAAAAAUCUUAGAUAAAAUAAAGAAAGAGCAGGAAGAAAAAUCUGUCUCAUUCUACAAUCCACCAAUUUUUCCUGAGAUUAUUUGUCAGCUCUAAGGUCACUGACAGGCAGUACAUGGACUGAGUCAUUGGUACCUGCUUCACAGAUGUGGUGGGCAAAGAUAUCCUGUGGUGAGGAAGGGUGAGGGACACAGAAAGCGUCCAGACACUGGGAAUAAGUCUAUUAGUACUGCAAGGUUCUACCAUUUCUUAAGCUUCAGUGACUUUCAGCUUUAUUUCUUUCCCAUCACCCAUACACCAAAGUUUUAUUCCUAAGAUAUAGGAGACUGUUUUCCCUUACUUUUCCUUUUCCCCACCACCUUAAUGUCUUGUCUUUCAUUUCCACCUUUUCUUGAACUUAGAGUUUGUCCUGCCCUGCCUUACCUUGUCCUGUCCUUCCUUUCCCAUCCCUUCCAUUCCCUCCCCUUCCCCUCCUGCCCCCUCCUCUGUUCUCCUUUCCUCUCAUUUCUUUCUUUCUCUCUCUACUUCCUUCCCCUUCCCUCCUUCUCUGUCUUUCUCUCUGUGUAUCUGUCUCUCUAUGUCUGUCUCUCUAUGUCUGUCUGUCUGUCUGUCUGUCUGUCUCUCUCUCUCUCUCUCUCGCACAUCAACUCUUUUUAAAAUUUUUGGACAGGGUCUAAAUAAGUCUCUAGAUUUCCAGGCCUAAGUUAGAAUUUCUGAUCUUCCUCCCUCAGCCUUCCAGAGUGCUGGGAUUACUGGUAUGUAUCACCAUGCCUGGCUGAAUUUACUUUUUCAAUGUCAUAAAAGGCAGUAUAUUCAGGAUCUAGGCUCCAAGUUCAAGGCCAGGAAAAAUUAAGGAAUUUUCCCAAGGUUAUGCACAUGGGGAUGAGUGGAAUAAGAAUAAGAGUGGGGCUCGUGUAGUGGUGGCAUGCAAAUGAAUCCCCAGUUCUAGGACAGACAUUGUCCUGGGCUGUGAGGAAAUCCUAGUGAAUAAGAUGGGAAAGUUCUUAGAGAAUAAAAAGUCAUAUUCUAAAGGCAAAUGAUAUGAAAUAAGCAUAUAAUAAAUAAAUUAAUGGCAGAGGGGGAAAAAGCAUGGGAUGGGGACACAGACAGUGCUAUAUGGAGAUUAAUCAGUUAGCUUUCUGUCACUAUAACAAAAUAUCUGAGAGAAUUAACUUACAAAGAGAAAAGGUUUUACAAGUCCCAGCCCUGACAAGACUGACCCACUGCUUUGACUUGAAGAGUUGUAGAAAAUAACAACAUGCACAAGAUUUUUAUACUUAGGUGUUUGGAUUUCCUCUUGUUUCCUCUUUGCCUCCAUCUGAAGAGCAUUGGAGUGGGCUGAUGACAUGGAGGCUGAGAGACAGCGCCUCCAUUGCAUGAUUUAACCAUGCUUCUUCCAGAGCAAGGGGGUGCAUUGCCUCAUGACUUUCUGGGUGGGUUGGAUUUGUUUUUUGGCCUUCAUCAUUUACACUGGUCAUUGACACUACCAGACCUUUCUACCUAACUGCACACUUAAAAUGUGGUCACGCUUCUGUGACUCCCUUUGCACCAUGCCCUGGCUGCCCGAGUACCUUAAGAUCUCCAUUCCAGGCAGGCCUGGGCUAAGCUCUUGAAAAGUCUGGAACUAGCCACCACUCCUGCACUUACCUUUAGCAGUAACACACGUUUCUCCUUUUAAUGUUCAUGUGCGUUCCAUAUUUCCAGAUUGAAAACUCAUCUGGUUAAACAUCCUCAGACCAUAUUAUGAUGUUUACUGCAAGAGUAAUAUGAAUUCUCAAGAGGUUCUUUAAAUAACUCUGGCUAGGUAAAUAAAUAAAUGAUACCAGUUGUCAUUUACUGCACACCUACCAUGUCCCAGGAACACUUUUAAACUACUGACAUGUAUGCAUUUAGUGCUCACCAAACCCUCUAGUGUAGCUGUCCUGGUGAGGUGAAUUUGAGAGCAUUUGAACACCUGAACAGUAGCCGUGCCCCAGUCUGCAGCUUCUAGGUAAAAAGGAAGGGCCUGGCUUGGGAGAUAAUCUAUAAUUUUUAUAUAUGAAAAUUCAAGAUUUUAACAGUGUGGGGUAUAUGUGUGUAUAUUUUAUAUACUUAUUUUAUGGACACAUGUUAGACUAUGUUAUAACUACAUCAUACACUGUGAGAACUGAACAAAUGUGCUUCCUGGGCAGCGUACCACCUCAGGCCCAGCAAAGAGCCUCUAAGUCAACAGUCUACUCUGGGAUGGUGAGAAAAGCACAGCAUUGGAGCAGCUGUAUAACAGGGUGGUUACCUCUUCAUUUCAUGGACCCUUGAGAUCCUGAGUUUAGAUAGAAGUUAGUGGCAAACUGUCAGCUAGAUCACACUGUUGUGGGCAUUGGAAGUGUAUUCCUAGAGUUCGUUGCAAAUUAGGGGCUUGGUCCAUGCCAUUAAUUUCUUCUUUUUUUUUUUUUUUUUUGUACCAGGGAUCGAACUCGGGUCCUUGUGCUUGUGCAGCAGGUGGCAAAACCACUGAGCUAAAUCCCCGGCCCAUCAUUAAUUUAUUCUUUGGGAGGAAGCUCUGGGUAUGGAAACAAGGUCCUGGUACAUCCUAGGUGAAUGCUCCACCACUGAAGCAUACCCACAUCCCUCAGUCAGCUGAACAGGGCGCUGAGCCCACUCUCAGGGAAAUGGGGUCCACAAGAUUCUCUUCUUACUCUUACCCUCCACGGGAGCACCUGACCCAGCCCAAGGACUCAUUUUUUAUGUGAUAUUUGCAAGCUUCUCUAUCUAUACCUUUAUUCCUCCUGGGUAAAAAGUUUGAUAGGAAUGUAAGUGGGUAUCCUUGAAAGAAUAUUUCUAUUUUGACAGGGACCAGUGACUUUGAGUAGCUUGAGAGAAUACUCACGUGAGCCUGAGAAUGCCAUGAGAGAUUGGGCAUAGACACAUUCCCUUUUACCCACCAUGACUCCACAGCCUCCCUAGCUGUUUGUCUCUCUCUUCUACUGAGGCUUCAGGUAGUAUUCUUUUACAAAAAAGGGGCUCUGUGGCAAUGAUGAAGGUAUCUGGAAAAGUUAAAACCUUCCAGCCAAGUUCUAAGCAUCAAUCAUUUUGUUAUCAAUUUUCUGCAAAAAGUUGUGGAUUUUUUUCCCCUGCUCAUAAAUGCCUCCUAGAAAAAUAAGAGUUGCAGUAGGCACUUUCUUUUCCCCAGGCACAGAACUAUCAAACUUCUCAGCUGGAAUUCAGAGACAGUAAGCAAACUCCCUAAAUACUAACAUGGCAUACGAGCUGUUUUCCUGGCAGGAUGGUUUUGUGCCCAUCAACUUGGGAGUGCUAUGGCAACUCAGUGGGGCCUUGCUGAAUAGCAGUGGCACUGGGACUCUUCACUAAGGUCCUUCUGGUGCCAAGCAGUCCCCAAGUCAGAGCAUGUGCUGAUUUCAACAUUUGUUGUCACUGUAGAUAAAGAACAAUCAGCAAAGAUCCUGAUCCCAUGACCCAUUUCUCAAUUCUUCUGGUUUCUGGGAAUCAGCAUACUGAUUAUGUAGACUUGGCUGACUAGGAGAGGCUUGGGAUUCCCCUACUGGCUUAUGUCCUAUUUUGCAAAAUGAACAACUGUUUUCUUUUUCUUCCUCAUUUGCAAGGUAGGGAAAAUACUUCCUCUAGCCCUGUAGCAAAUCUCCUUACUUUGCAAUUGCAUCUUGGUGUUCUGCUAGGUUGGUUAGGUGAAUAGGGGUCUGGUGUCACAAGGCUAAAGAGAAGUGAGGGCCUGGAUAGUUCAUUUUUUUCUUCCUUAGCCUUUCCUUUUUCUUAUUCCCUCUUCUACCUUUCAUUUAUGUUUCAGGUUAUUUAAUGGAAAAUUGAAAGCAAUAUUUUAAGUAAAAUGCCUGCGUUCUCUUAAUGGGCAUGGCUGUGGCCAACAGACCUAUAGGUCGAAUGGCUAUGACACCAAGCAGUGGGCACAUACACGUGCGUCGGCCAGUGUGCCCAAAUCAAGUACUGUAUGUGUGUGGAACCACAUGCUCUUCUAGAGCUUUUCAGAGCCGGGUGUAUGCUGGGCUGCAAGUGUUUUUCACUUCUUUUUAGUUUUUAAAUGAAGACCCUUUUUAGUUAUCUACCUCGGAUACUCCAUGAAAUGGAAGAAUACCUCACUGCAUUUACCAACUCCAUUGUGUGGCUUAAUUGAUGGUCAGUGUGGGCCUUCUUUGGGUUUUCAGAAUGUGGGAGUUAAUCAUAGUGCUUCCGUUGCUCCCUUUGGCAAUUCUGAGGAGCUACGAGGAUCCUGAUUUGUUCGCUGCAGUUUUAAAUGACAGUGUGUGGGAAACAAAUCAAGGAGUUCUGAGUCUGGUGGAGCUGCAGCUAGGGGCCUGUUCGUACAACCUCCAUGUCCUCAUCUGUAAAGUGAAGGACAAGAAGCAUCUGCAGUCCAAGGCCCCUUCUGGACUCCUGGUUUGGUAUGUGCUGGGCCUGAUCCCCUGGGGUGAGUGGGAGUCUGUGUCUGUCUUGUGAUCUUGGCUAGAAUUUGUGAGGUUCUUCCCCCAUCAUCCGCAUUGUGUAUGGACUGGAAGAGCCCUGGAAACCCCAAAGCUGAUCCCAGAGGCCCUUAGGGAGAGCUCCAGUCCUGGAAAUAAGUUCUGUUUGGCAAAAUAAGUUCAUCUUCUCUUAAACUGUGUAGGCUUUCUAGGUUCUGCCAAAUGGAGAACCAGUGAGAAGUGUUCAUGAAUAGAAACUCACAUUUCUGCUCAGUAGAGCUCCUAAUGAUUAAAUGCCUUUUCAAAUAGGUACAUCAAAGGCAAACAAAUCAGGGUGUGGGACUCUGUUGUGGGUCUAUGAGAUCUGUUAUCAUGAGUUAAGUAUUUUUUAAAACGUGGUAUUGAGUCCAAGAGUCUACUCGAUUAUUAUGAAACUAAAAACACAUUACAUUCCAAAGAUAUUUUGGAAACAAUAGAUUUUGAUAUUCACCGGUGGCUUUUAUCAUUUCAACAAACUUGUAUUUAGAGAGCAGGUGGUGUCUGUGAGCCUAGACCAUGGAACUGGUGUUUAGUGGUGAAGCCGAUAAUUCUCCCACUUGCUUAAAAGAUUGAGCCGAGACAAGAGAUUUUUACCUGACUGUGUCUUCUGCCAGAAGCCAGAGAAAUGCACAAUCUUGGAACGCUGAGACGUGGAUACCGCAUGUCUAAUGGAUGGAAUCUUUUUUUGUCUGGGGUAGAAAUAUACAACUAUUGACUGUGUUACGCAUAUGGAGUAAAACUGAUUGCAGGUGGUACAACGGUUUCUUCCUUUCUGCCUCUCCACCUUCCCCUGGCACCAGUUUCCUAUGCUUGGAGAUACGAAUAAUGGGAGCCCAGUGAUCAUGAGAAAAUUCUACUGGGUUGAUGAACAACAACAGUGAAGGGCAGGAACAGUACAAAACCAGUACUGGGAGGACAACUGAGACCCAUAAUUACUCAGUGAGUUGACCUUGCCCUCCUCAGGACACCUGAUGUGCUGCUGAGCGAUAAAAUAUAUGGCUCUGGUAUCAGAUGCAAAUUCACAUCUCCCCACACUGGUAGGUUUCCUGUGAUCCUCAGGCCACGCACUCAUUGACACCCAUCUUUUUCAUUUGCAAUAUAAGUAUAUAAAAAUUAGAUUUUUGUGGGAUGAAAUGAUAGAGCUAUAACUAUUACUAUUAAUUUUUAGUCUGCAGUGUGUCAAGAACAUUAUCCUGACAUGAGUUCUCUUUAUGUACUAAUAUCUAUUUUAUUUUUUUAAAAAAUCUAUUUUAUUUCUAGUUUUCCAGUGAUCUCUGAUAAAAUCACAGGUACCACAGACCUGUGAUGCUCUAUUAAAAUCUAAACAUUUUUUUCUGAGUCAGAAAUAUUUUAAAAAAUCUCAGGAACUUCCCAUACAAGAGUUUAAUUAGGUAAACACAUCAAAGAAUAGCUUAGAUUAUUUUGUUUAUAGUCUCAAGAGAAAGUUCUAAAGGACAUACUCCU
rnacentral:lncRNA from 1 species